rnacentral:rRNA from 1 species
UACGGGGGGAGCAAGCGUUGUUCGGAUUUACUGGGCGUAAAGGGCGCGUAGGCGGUCAGCACAAGUCAGUUGUGAAAUCUCCGGGCUUAACUCGGAAAGGUCAACUGAUACUGUGCGACUAGAGUGCAGAAGGGGCAACUGGAAUUCUCGGUGUAGCGGUGAAAUGCGUAGAUAUCGAGAGGAACACCUGCGGCGAAGGCGGGUUGCUGGGCUGACACUGACGCUGAGUGCGAGACCAGGGGAGCGAACGGGAUUAGAACCG